CGCGCAGGCGGUUUCGUCAGUCGUGGGUGAAAGCCCCGGGCUCAACCCGGGAAUGGCCUGUGAAACCACGGAACUGGAGUGCUGGAGAGGGAAGCGGAAUUCCCAGUGUAGCGGUGAAAUGCGUAGAUAUUGGGAGGAACAUCGGUGGCGAAGGCGGCUUCCUGGACAGACACUGACGCUGAGGCGCGAAAGCCAGGGGAGCGAAC
rnacentral:rRNA from 1 species